GUUUAUGAUAGUUUAAGUUAGAAUAAUAAUUUGUGGUAUUAUGGGUGAAGGUAUUUUCUCUAGACC
rnacentral:tRNA from 1 species